rnacentral:lncRNA from 1 species
CAUGUUCUUAUAGGAUCAAUUACAUGCACGUGUGAGGCAACCAGACAGCUACCAAGUACCAAUAGCAGCUUAUUUUCUUGAACUAGAAAAAGGGAGAAGGGGGUGAAAGGAAGUUUGUUUAUUUAAUCUUGUGUGGUCAGGCAACCAGAUGGCUACCACAAUAAUCAAUGAAGUGGGAGAGGAAGAUUUGAGGAAAUAAGUGCUAUUAUCUACGAAAUUUUCUCAGAAAUCUAGGAAUAAUUUGAAAUCAUAGAUUACCUGGAUUCUCCGAGAGGCAGGCACAGAAUAUAUCUUCAGUAAAAUACAACUAAUAGUAGAAAUAGUUCACUCCGUUCGCACAGUACAAGAAUAGCUCUAGCCCUCAUGCUCAGAAAGCCAAUGCAGGAAGCUAACUAAAUAAAUGGCAUGCAUAAAAAGAAAAGAAAAAUAUGCAAACCUAUGCUAGCAAAGAGUCGUUUUGUGGCUUGAAUCUUGAUGGUGAAGCAUCAUCAUGCCUACUUUUCUUCCAAACAGUCUGUGAUAAAAGGAAACAAUUACAGAAUUAUGUUUUUUUUCAAUGACAGUAGAACUUCAUCAAUAGGUAAGAUACAUGGUAUGAAAAAAAUUCCAGAACAAAAAGUAACAGUUUUCAACCGGUCAAGAAAGAAUGUACCUUGAAAGCCCCCAAGAAAAGUCAGAGAGAGUUGGAAUGCAUCCUUCUAUUGCUAGAACAGACCGGACAUGCCUGAAAGGCAGUUCAAUUGGAUAUUUUUUCCUCAGAUGAACACAUAUUCUGAUGCCCGUCGCAUUUAGUAUUUUUGAACUAUAUUGCAAACACUAGGGCCCUAACACUAAAGGAUGCAGUCGUGUAGUAAUCAUCCUGGGAAAACAUUGCUCUAUGCUCCAAGACCCCAAGUUCAAUCAUGAAACAUAAUUUAACAACUUUCUUAAAAUUCAGCCUACAUUGGCAGUUGAUUAGAGCUGUCAAGUCAAUGGUUCAGUAUUGUAAUGUCUCGAGUUUUGACUCUACUCGCGGCUGUACAGUCAGUACAAAUAAUCUCGACUUGAAAUGGGUUGCAGACAAUGUAAUAAGCUUGCAUAAAUUUAGGGCAGGGAAAAUGUAAAAUGGAAGGGGGAGAAAGAAUAAUUUUGGAUGGCAAUUCAAAAGUACAUUUUGCUUUUGAAUACAAAAACAUCCUAUGGUGUCUACAGAGCAUUUUCAGAGUACAAUUUUAAAAUGAGACAGAGAAAUUUGAAUGUGACUGAAGGAGAGAGAACCAUGAAAGUUAAAUGCUACACAAAGACAAGAUCAUCGAAGGCCUCACAAAAUAUACACACAACUAAACAAUUAUUAUGCACCCAAAAGGUUUGGCCGCUGGCCUUGGGCAUCUUUGGCAGUAAAUCCAUUGAGCAAGUCUAACAAUAGUAAUCUACCAAAAACCAAGACCGAGGUGAAUUAACAAGCUAUAUCCACGAUAAACUGAACAUGCAAUGUCCAGGUAACGUCUGAGUGUUGCACACUGAAAUAGCUAAGAAACAAAAUUCUUGAGGAAACUUUCCAGAAACCUUAAUUCUGGAAAUAUUUCAGAGAUCUCCUAAAAAACUGGUUGUGUGCAUCGAAAUAGCCACUGAGCAGUUAACACCCCAAAAAGAGAAUGGUGCAGUGUCUGAAGCUCAACCUUAAAAAUAGCACUACAAAUACACUUCAAGCCCAAUCCAAAAAACCUUUGUUCUUGGCUAACUUUUGUGGGUUGAUUCAUUGAACGCCAAACAAAUGUAAUGACGGGUUGAUAAUUGUCCAUAGUUCUAGUAACUGCAUAGCAAAAGGGAAGACAGUGCAAUAUUAGUUCACCUAGUAUGAGAAUAUAUGUUAACCACAGGAUAAAAAUAGAUGCAAGUUCCCUUUGGCCUUGAUGUUUGUGAUUAGAAGGGUAUGCCCUUCUUGAAUCUGUACUUGUUUGUUUAAUAAGACUCUCUUACCAAAAGAGAAGAUCCAAGUUUCUUAGAUUGAACAAUUUGAUUCUUGCUUGAGCGAAUGUAGUAGUUAUAGUAAAAAAAACUAAGUUUUC